UACGUAGGGUGCAAGCGUUGUCCGGAAUUAUUGGGCGUAAAGAGCUCGUAGGCGGUCUGUCGCGUCGGCUGUGAGAACCCGGAGCUCAACUCCGGGCCUGCAGUCGAUACGGGCAGACUGGAGUUCGGCAGGGGAGUCUGGAAUUCCUGGUGUAGCGGUGAAAUGCGCAGAUAUCAGGAGGAACACUGGUGGCGAAGGCGGAUCUCUGGGCCAUUACUGACGCUGAGGAGCGAAAGCGUGGGGAG
rnacentral:rRNA from 1 species